GCCGGGAUGGCGGAGCGGUCAUCGCGGCGGUUUUAGAAACCGCUUCCCGCAGGGGAAACACUGGUUCGAAUCCAGUUCCCGGCA
rnacentral:tRNA from 1 species